rnacentral:rRNA from 1 species
UACGAAGGGGGCUAGCGUUGCUCGGAAUCACUGGGCGUAAAGGGUGCGUAGGCGGGUCUUUAAGUCAGAGGUGAAAUCCUGGAGCUCAACUCCAGAACUGCCUUUGAUACUGAGGAUCUUGAGUUCGGGAGAGGUGAGUGGAACUGCGAGUGUAGAGGUGAAAUUCGUAGAUAUUCGCAAGAACACCAGUGGCGAAGGCGGAUCUCUGGACAGUUCCUGACGCUGAGGCACGAAGGCCAGGGGAGCAAACGGG